GAUGAACGCUGGCGGCGUGCCUAAUACAUACAAGUCGAGCGAACAGACGAGGAGCUUGCUCCUCUGACGUUAGCGGCGGACGGGUGAGUAACACGUGGAUAACCUACCUAUAAGACUGGGAUAACUUCGGGAAACCGGAGCUAAUACCGGAUAAUAUAUUGAACCGCAUGGUUCAAUAGUGAAAGACGGUUUUGCUGUCACUUAUAGAUGGAUCCGCGCCGCAUUAGCUAGUUGGUAAGGUAACGGCUUACCAAGGCAACGAUGCGUAGCCGACCUGAGAGGGUGAUCGGCCACACUGGAACUGAGACACGGUCCAGACUCCUACGGGAGGCAGCAGUAGGGAAUCUUCCGCAAUGGGCGAAAGCUUGACGGAGCAACGCCGCGUGAGUGAUGAAGGUCUUCGGAUCGUAAAACUCUGUUAUGAGGGAAGAACAAAUGUGUAAGUAACUAUGCACGUCUUGACGGUACCUAAUCAGAAAGCCACGGCUAACUACGUG
rnacentral:rRNA from 1 species